UGGGGGAUAUUGCGCAAUGGGGGCAACCCUGACGCAGCAACGCCGCGUGAAGGAUGAAGGUUUUCGGAUUGUAAACUUCUUUUAUUAAGGACGAAAAAUGACGGUACUUAAUGAAUAAGCUCCGGCUAACUACGUGCCAGCAGCCGCGGUAAUACGUAGGGAGCAAGCGUUGUCCGGAUUUACUGGGUGUAAAGGGUGCGUAGGCGGCUUUGCAAGUCAGAUGUGAAAUCUAUGGGCUCAACCCAUAAACUGCAUUUGAAACUGUAGAGCUUGAGUGAAGUAGAGGCAGGCGGAAUUCCCCGUGUAGCGGUGAAAUGCGUAGAGAUGGGGAGGAACACCAGUGGCGAAGGCGGCCUGCUGGGCUUUAACUGACGCUGAGGCACGAAAGCAUGGGUAGCAAACAGGAUUAGAUACCCUGGUAGUCCACGCUGUAAACGAUGAUUACUAGGUGUGGGGGGUCUGACCCCUUCCGUGCCGGAGUUAACACAAUAAGUAAUCCACCUGGGGAGUACGGCCGCAAGGUUGAAACUCAAAGGAAUUGACGGGGGCCCGCACAAGCAGUGGAGUAUGUGGUUUAAUUCGAAGCAACGCGAAGAACCUUACCAGGUCUUGACAUCCAACUAACGAAGUAGAGAUACAUUAGGUGCCCUUCGGGGAAAGUUGAGACAGGUGGUGCAUGGUUGUCGUCAGCUCGUGUCGUGAGAUGUUGGGUUAAGUCCCGCAACGAGCGCAACCCUUGCUAUUAGUUGCUACGCAAGAGCACUCUAAUAGGACUGCCGUUGACAAAACGGAGGAAGGUGGGGACGACGUCAAAUCAUCAUGCCCCUUAUGACCUGGGCUACACACGUACUACAAUGGAUGUUAACAGAGGGAAGCAAGACAGCGAUGUGGAGCAAACCCCUAAAAACAUUCUCAGUUCAGAUUGCAGGCUGCAACCCGCCUGCAUGAAGAUGGAAUUGCUAGUAAUCGCGGAUCAGCAUGCCGCGGUGAAUACGUUCCC
rnacentral:rRNA from 2 species